AUUGAACGCUGGCGGAAUGCUUUACACAUGCAAGUCGAACGGCAGCACGGUCUUCGGUCUGGUGGCGAGUGGCGAACGGGUGAGUAAUGUAUCGGAACGUGCCCAGUCGUGGGGGAUAACGUAGUGAAAAUUACGCUAAUACCGCAUACGAUCUAUGGAUGAAAGCGGGGGAUCGCAAGACCUCGCGCGAUUGGAGCGGCCGAUAUCAGAUUAGGUAGUUGGUGGGGUAAAGGCCCACCAAGCCAACGAUCUGUAGCUGGUCUGAGAGGACGACCAGCCAAACUGGAACUGAGACACGGUCCAGACUCCUACGGGAGGCAGCAGUGGGGAAUUUUGGACAAUGGGCGAAAGCCUGAUCCAGCCAUUCCGCGUACAGGAUGAAGGCCCUCGGGUUGUAAACUGCUUUUGUACAGAGCGAAAAGGUUUCUACUAAUACUAGGAGCUCAUGACGGUACUGUAAGAAUAAGCACCGGCUAACUACGUGCCAGCCGCCGCGGUAA
rnacentral:rRNA from 1 species